UACGUAGGUGGCAAGCGUUGUCCGGAUUUACUGGGCGUAAAGAGCGCGCAGGCGGUCGUUCAAGUCGCGUGUGAAAGCCCCCGGCUCAACUGGGGAGGGUCACGCGAUACUGAUCGACUCGAAGGCAGGAGAGGGUAGUGGAAUUCCCGGUGUAGUGGUGAAAUGCGUAGAUAUCGGGAGGAACACCAGUGGCGAAGGCGACUACCUGGCCUGUUUCUUGACGCUGAGGCACGAAAGCGUGGGGAGCGAACAGG
rnacentral:rRNA from 1 species